ACACAUGCAAGUCGAGGGGAAACGACAUCGAAAGCUUGCUUUUGAUGGGCGUCGACCGGCGCACGGGUGAGUAACGCGUAUCCAACCUGCCCACCACUUGGGGAUAACCUUGCGAAAGUAAGACUAAUACCCAAUGAUAUCUCAAGAAGACAUCUGAAUGAGAUUAAAGAUUCAUCGGUGAUGGAUGGGGAUGCGUCUGAUUAGCUUGUUGGCGGGGUAACGGCCCACCAAGGCGACGAUCAGUAGGGGUUCUGAGAGGAAGGUCCCCCACAUUGGAACUGAGACACGGUUCAAACUCCUACGGGAGGCAGCAGUGAGGAAUAUUGGUCAAUGGGCGAGAGCCUGAACCAGCCAAGUAGCGUGCAGGAUGACGGCCCUAUGGGUUGUAAACUGCUUUUAUAAGGGAAUAAAGUGAGUCUCGUGAGACUUUUUGCAUGUACCUUAUGAAUAAGGACCGGCUAAUUCCGUGCCAGCAGCCGCGGUAAUACGGAAGGUCCGGGCGUUAUCCGGAUUUAUUGGGUUUAAAGGGAGCGUAGGCCGGAGAUUAAGCGUGUUGUG
rnacentral:rRNA from 1 species